AUUACGCGAGGGACCGAAUCGGAAUGGUCGUCCUCCUUCCCGCCGCCGCGCCGCGCCGCGGAUGCGAUGCCGCCGCCGCCGCCGCCGCUAGCAGCCCUAGUCACCCGCCACCCUCACCAACUACCCGCCUCCGCCUCCUAUCCCUCAGCCUCCACGCUCCCUGCCUACCGCGCGCUCAUCCGCGACCUCUUCUCCGCCGGCCGUCUCGACGACGUCGACGCCGCCCUCGCCUUCGCGCGCUCCCGCCUCGCCCCAUGCUCCCUCCAACCGCUCUACGUGAGCUGCAUCCAAGCCUACGCCCGCGCCGGCCGCCUCCGUGCCGCCGUCGACACCUUCGAGCGCAUGGACCUCUUCGGCAGUCCGCCCGCCACCCCCGCCUACAACGCCAUCAUGGACGCCCUCGUCAACGCCGCCUACCACGACCAGGCUCACAAGGUCUACGUCAGGAUGCUAGCCGCCGGCGUUCCUCCCGACGCCCGCACCCACACAAUCCGCCUCAAGUCCUUCUGCCUCACCGGCCGCCCGCAUGUCGCGCUGCGCCUGCUGCGCACCUUGCCGGAGCGUGGGUGUGUCUCCCAACCCGUCGCCUACUGCACGGUCGUGCGGGGGCUCUAUGCCAGCGGCCACGGUCACGAUGCACGUCGCCUGUUCGAUGAAAUGCUCGGCAGGGAUGUCUUCCCUGACGUUGCCACUUUCAACAAUGUUUUGCACGCUCUUUGCCACAAUGGGGAUAUCUUCGAGUCUGGGGCACUUCUCGCCAAGGUCCUCAAGCGGGGGAUGGCGGUAAACAAGUUCACCUACAACAUAUGGAUCCGUGGGCUCUGUGAAGGCGGCAGGUUGGGAGAGGCUGUUGCGCUCGUGGAAAGGAUGGGCUCCCACAUUUUGCCAGAUGUUGUGACUUACAACACAUUGAUACGUGGCCUUUGUAAGGACUCCAAGGUCUGGGAAGCUGCACAAUAUCUUCGUAGGAUGAUCAACCGGGGCUGCAUACCAGAUGAUUUCACCUACAACACCAUCAUCGAUGGCUACUGCAAGAGGGGCAUGCUGCAGGAAGCUACUGAGCUUCUGAAAGACGCUGUCUUUAAAGGUUUUGUGCCGGACCGGGUCACAUACUGCUCACUGAUCAAUGGACUGUGUGCUGACGGUGAUGUCGAGAGGGCCCUGGAGCUCUUUAGUGAGGCACAAGCAAAAGAUCUGAAGCCUGACCUUGUCGUCUACAACACCCUUGUCAAGGGGCUCUGUCGUCAGGGUCUGAUCUUGCAUGCCUUGCAGAUCAUGAAUGAGAUGGUCGAGGAUGGCUGCCAUCCCGACAUUUGGACAUACAAUAUUGUGAUCAACGGACUAUGCAAAAUGGGAAAUAUUUCAGAUGCAACAGUUGUGAUGAAUGAUGCCAUUGUCAAAGGAUACCUUCCAGAUGUCUUUACCUUCAACACGUUGAUUGAUGGCUACUGCAAGAGAUUGAAGCUCGACAGUGCCCUUCAGCUUGUUGAAAGGAUGUGGACAUAUGCCAUUGCCCCUGAUGCUAUUACAUACAACUCAGUUCUGAAUGGUCUCUGCAAAGCAGGGAAGGCCAAGGAAGUCAAUGAAACAUUUGAAGAGAUGGUCCUUAAAGGAUGCCGACCAAAUGCUAUCACAUACAACAUACUGAUAGAGAAUUUUUGCAAGAUCAAUCAACUGGAAGCGGCUUCUGGGGUGAUAGUCAAGAUGAGCCAGGAAGGGUUAGUUCCUGAUGCAGUUAGUUUCAAUACGCUGAUUCAUGGAUUCUGCAGGAAUGGUGAUCUUGAUGAAGCAUACCUACUGUUUCAGAAGUUGGAUGAGAAAGGAUACUCUGCAACAGCUGAUACUUUCAACAUUCUGAUUGGUGCAUAUUCUAGUAAGCUGAAUAUGGAAAUGGCUGAAAAGAUUUUCGAUGAAAUGAUCAGCAAGAGCUAUAAACCUGAUCUGUAUACCUAUCGUGUUCUAAUUGAUGGGUCAUGCAAGGCUGCAAAUGUUGAUCGCGCAUAUGUGCAUCUGACAGAAAUGGUAAACAAGGGAUUUGUUCCAUCGAUGGUGACUUUUGGCCGUGUAAUAAAUGCACUUGCAGUUAAGCAUCGAAUAUCCCAAGCUGUUUCUAUUAUUCACAUCAUUGUGAGAAUAGGAGUUGUUCCCGAGGCUGUUGAUACCAUCUUUAGUGCUGAUAAGAAGGAGAUAGCUGCACCAAAGAUACUUGUUGAGGAAUUGAUGAAGAAGGGUCACAUUAGUUACUCUACUUAUGAAAUUCUCCAUGGAGGAGUAAGAGAUACCAGAUUAACUAGAAAAGCUCGAAAGGAAAAAUACAUCUAAUGUGUUUACUUCACCACAUCAGUAAAAAAUCAUUUCAGUAAGCUGAUUGAGCUUUGAUGUAUCUGAGCGAUAAGAUCUUAUUAUUGUCCUAUUAGUAGCUGUACACUACCACUUCAUGGCUUCUUUGUUCAGAAUAUGUAGACUAUCUGUUCCUAGUUGUAGGAAUACAAAGGUCCGACAUUUAUAUGUAUGUAUGAAGGCUCAUGGUAGUUCAAGGCGCUGCGAUGUUUGAAGUCAGUGUUGGAAGGUGGCCGCUACUCAUAAGAAAUACCUGUGGAAUUGUGAGUAAUUUGCCCAUUUCUAUGACUUGCUUACAGAUCUCAUGGGAAGUGCCCUCAUCCCUCUCUAUUGGCUUACUUAAAUGCAGUCCCACUCGAGGUGCAUAGUAAAACACUAUCUUGGGACAUUUCUAAGCUACUCUGUAUAUUAGAGACAUGCUCAAAAACGUUGAUAAAUUUGUUGCAAGUGCUAUUAACAUACUAAACAAUGCAGACAUGUUAUUAGGUCCUGACUCAUUUUCUCGAAAGCUUUCUAUAGCCUGUUAAUGCAGGCUGCUGUGCUCUUCGAUUGAUAUUGUGACAAGAUUCUGAACCACCUCCUGUCUGUUGCUGUUGGUGCUUCUAUAUGUGGCAUAUGCCAUUCAAUAUAAACAAGGAUGACAGCCUUCCUCACGUUAGUCACCAUCAGUUUUUCAGACACACGACUGACUGACUGACCUUGGGAAGGAGGUUGAGUUGAGAUGAUGAAGAACAUUUCCAAGGCUCUACUAUAACCAAUGAAGCUGCAUUCCCUACUCUGUACCUGGUUGUCUGCUGUCACACGGAUCAAGUGAUACAUCGCAGUGCUGAAGUUAUUCCAUUAGUUUGCUUUGUGCAACCUAACUGGUACUUUUCUACAUGCUGCAUGUCUAGCUCUACUAAUCAUAAUAUCACAUGUUUGUGCCUGUAAUAUCGCUGUACAUGGAUUAUAUUUGUAGGCUGGCUUGUAUUUGCAAAUGGAGGGAUUGGUAUGUAGUACCAACCUACUUGUCAGUUUUUGCCUGUUUGAGAAGGCAUUCAAGACAAAUUCCAAUUCUA